rnacentral:rRNA from 1 species
AAUGAACGCUGGCGGCGCGCCUAAUACAUGCAAGUCGAGCGAGAAGACGUAGCAAUACGUUUGUAAAGCGGCGAACGGGUGAGGAAUACAUGGGUAACCUACCCUAGAGUGGGGAAUAACUAGCCGAAAGGUUAGCUAAUACCGCGUACGCUCCUUGGACUUCGGUUCAGGGAGGAAAGCGAUGCCGAGGGUAUCGCGCUCUUGGAUGGGCUCAUGUCCUAUCAGCUUGUUGGGAGGUAACGGCUCACCAAGGCUUCGACGGGUAGCUGGUCUGAGAGGACGAUCAGCCACACUGGCACUGCGACACGGGCCAGACUCCUACGGGAGGCAGCAGUAAGGAAUAUUGCGCAAUGGGCGAAAGCCUGACGCAGCGACGCCGCGUGGGGGAUGAAGGUCUUCGGAUUGUAAACCCCUUUCGGGAGGGAAGAUGGAACGAGCAAUCGUUCGGACGGUACCUCCAGAAGCAGCCACGGCUAAC